CCCGCCCCUGCAGCCCUGGCCCUGUGCCCGCUCCCGCCUCCCCCGCUGCUGGGGUCUCCUUGGCACUCGCUGCUCCAGACUCGGGGUGAAGCUCUUGCCUGCGGGAGCCCCGUUUCUUCAGGAACCACCCGGAGCAAGAGGGAGGUUCUUUCACCCAACAGUACAUGGGCGAGGCGAUCCACAGGCUUGGCUGUGGCCAGAGGCUGGUGUUCUCACUGAGUAGAGUAUUCUACUCAAUGCCAAGCCCCAGAGCCACGGGAGGACGGCAGGGACUUCUGUCAGGAGUGAGGGGAGCCUCACAUCCGUGCUUCCCAGCACCACUUCAUCCUCGCCCUUAAGGCUUUGGCACCAUCUGUCCCCCAUCUGUCCCGCACCGCCAGUCCCGCCCUUCUCCCCGGGUGCAACCUCUCCCUGCUGGGCCUCCAGGCGCUCCCUGCUCACGGGUGCGUGGAUGGUGCCUGAAGCCUGCUGGGGUGGCUGCCUAGGAGCCAGUGAAGGUGUCCCCCCUGCAGCUUUAGGCCCCCCAGGAAUGGAGGCCCAAUCAACACGAGUGGCCCUGGGGUACUUUGCUGAGCCUUGUCAGAGGAAGAGAGCUAUUCUUAAAUCACUCUGAAUUUCAUCCAUUGAUGGACUGAUGCUGACCGCAAGGUGCCAAAAGACAUCGGCAUUCAGGGGCAGCGAUGGUCAGAGCACUGGUUUGGUGCAUCACAUAACUCUACCGGGUUUUUCUUCCCUGUGUGGUUGCCAUUUCUCCUGAGUGUGGGGAGAGGUCAUCUGUAUUUUGAUGUAGAAUUUGCUCUUUGAGCUGCUGUCCAGGGCACCCCAGGAUUGACUUCUGACUCGAAGGCAUGAUCACGAUCAACCCUAAAGUGAUACACAAAGCCGUGUGACUCCUUUGUAAUUGCUCUCACUAAACUUACCCUGUUUUCAAAGCCUUAGGCUUGUAGGGUGACAACUGGAACCUGUGAUUUCUGCCAACAACACUCUGCAUUUUUGGAGUUUGAGAUUUUUUUACACUAAGCCUAUGGAGAAAAAACUGUAGCUGUGCAAAAUAUUCCUCCUGGCAUAACUAAGAAAACGGCCUGUGUCUGCAUGUUGUGUCUGCAGGGCCUUUCCUUGUGCCUGUCUUGGCCUCUAAAAGGCUUUCAACAUUCUGAACAGAGAAAUGUGAUAAAACUAGUACAAGUGGUAUGUUCCUUAAUCCCCUUCCUCCCUCUCAGGUCUGCACCUGGAAACCUACAGCAGCUGCCCCCCUCACCCCCCCUGGCCUGGAGCCUGUGACCUAGGUCUUGGGGCCUGUGGACCCGUUUUCUGCCAUUGGGUUCUGGCAUGUGGGUCAUGCUACCCACUCCUGAGUGACAGGCACCUGUUUUCUCUUGUUGUCCUCGGGCGCCUGUGGCCUUCAGCACCUUCAUCACUCUGAGCACAGUCCCCCCACCCUGCCCGUGGUCCCCCAUGUCCACC